rnacentral:tRNA from 1 species
GGGCCCGUGGGGUAGCCAGGACUAUCCUGUGGGCUUGCGGAGCCCAUGACCCGGGUUCGAAUCCCGGCGGGCCCGCCA